rnacentral:lncRNA from 1 species
AACACCUCAGCGGCCACAAACCCACGGUCUUCACCGUCAGCCGCAGCGGUGUUUUCUUCAGCCAGCAGCUGCACAGACGCGACAUGAACCCAUUCGCCAGUAGUCCCUUGGUCAUGUCACCGGCCACCUGAAAUAGAAGAAGAGGAAACAAAAAAAGAUUUGAAGAGAGAGGAGCAGAUCUGAAAAAGGAGAAGGGAGAGAAGUAGAUCCGAAAACAGUGAAAGAAAAGGCUAAAACAGACUUGCUUGUUGCAUUUUUGGGUGUUUUACAGGUAAUGGCGCUGCUCACAACCGAUAGGAGGGUGAAGAGGGAAGGAAGCCAUUACAGAACUCCCCAAGCUCUCUGGAUUUCGCGGCGGCGCGUGGAGAAGACGCGCCGCACUGCGCCACAAUUCCUGAGGGCCUCCUAUGCAGUUCCUAGACUUUUUAGGGACCUUUUUGUAAUUGUUACAUGUUUGAACAUGUAUUUAAAUUUCUGUUAAAUGUUUGCUAGUUUAUGUUAUUCGCCUAAACACAAAAACAUUUAUUGUAAAAACUUGGCUAACGGAGAUAAUCGCCUAAUCACCAAAGCCUUAAAACCUGGAGAUGUUUUUGUGUUUCCAAUUGGACUCAUUCAUUUCCAAUUCAAUGUGGGAAAAACCAAAGCGCUUGCUUUCGCCGGCUUAAGCAGCCAGAACCCUGGUGUAAUUACAAUUGCGAAUGCGGUGUUUGGAUCGGAUCCACCCAUUAAUCCUGAUGUCCUCGCCAAGGCCUUCCAACUGGACAAGAAGGUUGUCGACUAUCUUCAGAAAGCAUUCUAGUCGGACAAGAACAAGACACGGAGCAGUAGCCCUGCGAUUUCCGAUUAUAUUUCACAUGUUCUCAUCGUUAUUUCCUCUGUCGUAUUUGUUUUCAUAAAUAAAGAGGUUGCUGGAUAUCCAUUGAUACUCACUUGAACUUUUACUUAAAUUGAAACUCACUCCCUAUACUAAAGGUAUCAUAGAGUUACUCCUAUGCCAUGUUGCAUAAGGUUAAGGUUAAGAGGCAGAACUACCUCCUAGUAAUUCGUAAAAUCAAGAAACCUUAAAAAAAUCUUUUGGGACAGAGAAACCGAGCCAAACCCUUUAUAAAUUAGAUCAUAUCCAUAGGGUUGACCGCUUAAUAAGACUCGAAUAGUAAGAUGACAUAUACAUAUUUGUUUAUACAAUGAUCUUAUGAAUCUAUAAAAAAAAAAAAAAAAAAGAGAUUUCAUCUAUUUUAAUGUUAAUACCAAAAAAAAAUUUCAUCGAUUUUUUUCUUUUAACAUUUUUUUUACAUUAAUCUCUAAAAAUAGAUAUUUCAUCGAUUUUUUAUUAUUGAUGAAAAUUUUUCAUGUUAAUCCAUAAAAUAAAAGAAUUCAUCAAGCUAUAAGACUUUUGACAAAAAGUUGUGAUAUUAAUUCAUGAAAAAUAGAAGAUUUUGUUGAAACUUUUUCUAAAGCAUUGCUGAAAUAACAAACUCAUCAAUUUAUUUUUUAUUUCAAAAAAUAUGAAGCAACCACAUAUUCAAGACCAAUAAACUAAUAUUUUUCAGCAUUGUUUAAGACGUUUUACCUAUUAUAAAUAGGGUUAUUUAGCUUGUAAUUAGGUUUUUUAAAAAAAAAUAAGAGAUGGAUUAAUUAUUUAAUUAGAAAUAAAUUAUGUAUGAGAGUUUUCUCUUACUAUCGGUUCUUAAUGGAACUUUUUCAAGAACUUAUCAAAGAUCAACUAUCUUUCUAGCUUUUAUCUUGACUUAUCAAAUAAUUAACCAAAAUUUACGAUAACUUUUAUACUUCUCAUUCGCCUCUCGUUUAUAGACGUUGGCCGGGGGUGGUUACUCAUAGUCCUGGUGUCUGAGUAUAGGUUAUCGUUGUGUUAAUCUUAAUUCCAAACCUGAUCAUAGCUUGCUUAGGAGAGGUCGAUAUGAUUGUAGGUUCUCGAUUUAGUCAUCGGUUGAGCGUAUUUUCAUGUUCUAAUUGGGGUUAUUCUAAUUUUUUUCUGUUUUUUUGUUUUUUACGCACCAUCAACUAUAUAAUUUUAAACCUUUAACAAGCUUUAAUAGAUGUUUGAAAUAUUAAAAAACAAAUUUUGUGAUUUCCAUAGAGACUUCACAACUGCAAGUCCAAAGAUAACACGGAUAACCAGAAAAAAAAUAUUUGUCUAAAAAAUUCUCAAGUAGACAUCUUUUUUAAUAAAAUUAUUGAGACGACAACAUAAUGAGUCGACCAUCAACCCAAGUUAAUGUAUAAAAUCUACAACUCAGGUUAUGAGAUUGUAAUAACUUUAUAGAAAGCAAAAAAAAUCAUAUUGGAGCCUAAUUCUCAAUCAACCCAAAAUUAAUGAUUGAAAUUGAAAAAAAAAUCAAUCAGUAAAAUGACAAAAAAACUCAAGUCAACCAGGGUUAACCUGCCAAGAAUGGAUCAUAAAUUCAGGAUAACCCAAUAGAAAACAAAUCAAAACAAACUAUAAAGCUCAAUUCCUAAUCAAUCCAAAAUUAAAGGAUGAAAUAAAAAAAUCAAUUAAAAAGAAAAAAAAAUCAUGUCAACCUGAUUUAACAUGUCAAACUCUUGACUCAAAUCAUGAGAUUAGGAUAACCUCAAAGGAAGCAAACAAAAAUAAAUUAUGAACCUUAAUUCUCAAUCAACCUAAAAGGUGAAGGAUGAAAUUAAAAAAAAAAAAACAAUUACAAAUAGGAUAAAAAAAUCGAUUCAACAGAGUUAACCUGUAAAACUCGUGACUCGGGUCAUAAGAUUAUGAUAACUUUAUAGAAAUCAAAACAAAAUAAAUUAUGAAAAAUAAUCCUUAAUAAAUCCAAUAUUAAAGGAUGAAAUUGAAAAAAAAUAAAAAUAAAAAAAAUACUCCUCCAAUGAACAAUACUCUACGAGGAUGGGAACAAUAAUUUUCUCUCCUCAAUUAGUUAUUGUUAAUGUUUUAGAUGAAAGAAGAAAAAUCAUAGUGGCCUACUAGAUUUGUGUCCAAUGCUAUACCAUGGGCUGAACCAAAUUUGAUUUUUUUAUACAAAGAAAAGAAUAUUCACGUAUUGCUAGCACAUUUUAAAAUAGAAAGAAAAAUUUGUGGCUUCAUUUGAUUAUAUGAGAAAAAACAACCAACGACAGUACAUCCCUAUUGGUGGCGUUUCGACAUCGUAAAAAGUCGAAGGUGCCGCCAAAACAAAACAAUUUUCUUCACUUAUUGGUGUGUGGACUGCACUCACCAUCCAAUGUUCCACUGCCUGUUCAUUUUUGUCCCUUAUAUUUAUUUUAGUUUUAAAUUUGAUCUUUAAAGCCUCAAUUAUUUUAAAUUAAUAAAAUUUUAUUUUAUUUUUCUAAAUUGAGCAUCAACCAAGCAUGAAACUUUUUCCUUUACACUGCUACAUCCUCAUAUCUUGGCAACCAAUAUAAACCAUUUAGUUCGAACCCAAAAAAACUUAAUAUGGAAGGAUUUAAUUAAAAGAGAAAAGAAGUCGAGCAUAAAAAAAAUACCUAAAAUUUUCUCCUGUUCAUUUAACCGAGUCCCUGAUUGUAGUAAAUUUGAAGAGGAUAAACAUUUAUUUAAGUUUCAAAUUUAGUCUUAAAAGCUCUAAUUAUUUUAAAUAAAUAAAAUUAUAUCAUAUUUUGUCAAACCAAACAUUAAUCAAUCGACCAAAUAUUUUCUCUAUACCUUAAGAUACUCAUUCAUAGAAGAACUGUUAGAGAAUAAUAUAAAUUAUAUCUUGGAACCUUACCCAACAGUUUAAAUUAUUGGAUGGUUCUUUGACAUAGUAUCAGAGCCUUGAUAACCAAGCGGUCACGGGUUCGAAUCUCAUCAUCCCUAUUUAUUUGAUAAAAAAAAUUAAGCACAAGAUAAUGUCGGAUAAAACGACUGGUGAUGCCUAAAUCUAAAUUAUUGCAAUGUUAAAGGACCAACUUAUAAGACAAAAAUUGAGCCACUAAAAUAAAAAACAAAUUAAAAGAUAAUUGGUUUAAAAAAACAAAAACAGAGAGAGAGAACAUUAUGGAACGAUAUGUUACAAUGGCUAAUGUUUUCUCUCUUUGGUUACACUAACUUCAAGAGAAGGAUCGAUUAGGUUGUUUUUAAUUUAAUUUACUUUAAUUAGUGACUUCAAAAUAUUUUGUAAUAAAAAUCACACAAUUAUAUCUAGGAAAAAUCAUUUCCACUAUCCAAAAAAUAUUUUUUUAAUAAAAAAUGUCAAAGAUAUUAAUAUUUAUUAGUAGUUCAAUUGGUCAAUUAAUGAUAUAGUUUUAUAUAAUCAAUGACCCUCGUUUGGUCUCCAUGGCUUCAAAAACAACCAUUUUUGUGAUAGAAUUUUCGGUCAUAGCCAAGCAAAAUUCGCUCAAAAAGGCACUUGUGAUAGAAUUCGCACUUGUGAUAGAAUUUUCGGUCAUAGCCAAGCAAAAUUCGCUCAACCAUUUUUGUGAUGGAUUUGUGUUAAAAAACAAUUGAUAAAAAAAAAAAAAAUUGACGUCGCGAAGCGCAUUUGUGAUAGAAUUCUAGCGAUUAUAAAUUAAAAAUCAUGAAUUUAUUGCUGGGAAUUUGUGACAUAAUUUGCAGACACAAAUCAGUCACAAACAAAUAUAAAUAAACAAAUUACAAAAUUCUGAUUAUUCCAAAAUGAUUCAUGUUCAUCAAAUCAUAAUAACAACAACAACAACAACAAUAACAUCAUAAUUUUUUUUAAAAUAAUUAGUUUUUCUAAAACAAUUAUUAUUAAUAUUCAUGAUCAUAAAAUUUCAAAUAAUUUCUAGUGACAUUAAUUGUUAUCAACAUCCGCUUUUUUGUUUUUUGAGAUUAACCUCUUUAAUUUAAAUAAUGAAGUAAGAAUUUAAAUCAAUUAUUAGUUAAUCCAUUUUGAUGAGAAACUAAAUUAAUGAGUGUACAUAGUGAUAUAUAGAAAAGAAAAGGAGAUAAUAUGUUUAAUGGAUAGUAUUAAAUUUAUAAAAUAAAUCUUGAUUUUUUUUGAGGUUCAACCUAAUAUGAAAAGAUAUUUUUCUAUAUAUAACUUUAUUUCGUCUAUUUCUUUUUGUUACGGGCUAGCGAGAAAUAUUUUACAUAUACAGGUUAUGUUUUAUAGAUAAGUUAAUGUAUAUGAUCUAAUAAUAUUAAAUCAAAAUAAUUAAAGAAAUAAGGAUUUUUGUUUUUUUUUUUUUUUUGUAUUGUUUUUUUUUUAAUAAUUCUUGCUAUCAGUUAAGUUAUUUUCUGACUAACAACAAAUUUUCAAUAAAAAAAUUUAUCAUUAUCCAAAAAAGUAUUAAAUAGAGAUCAUUAUAUAAGUGUCUAUAUAUAUAAACGGUUUGACUAUAAAAUCAGAUUAUAUGAAUAUAUAUUUUGACUAUAAACUCCAAUAGAUGUUUUUAAGGGACAAUGGAGAGAUUGGUGGCUUCGCCAUGUGCAAAGAACAUUUAUAAAAAAAAAAAAAAAAAAAAAACAAAUUGGUAAAAAAAGUCACGCAAUUACAUCUAGGAAUAAUCAACGACGAUUAACCUUAUAUCCAUUUAAAAUCAUCUGAAACUUCCAUUGAACUAACUACCCCAGGACCACAAACAUUUUGUCACCUAACAAUCUUUAGUUCUCGACCUACUCUGAUAUUUUCACCAGAUAUCUUCAACAAAGCCUUGUGACUCGAGGCAUUGCACCCAAUCCUGUUAACUUAAAGGAAAAGUAUCAUGCUGGAAACAGUCUUAUCAGGAAAAUAUUGGCAUAUGAUUGAUAUUGUCAAGUUUUUUGAAUCUAUGGAGGAAUUUAGAGUGAUUUCUACUAUCUUGUCAAUCGGUUUCAUCACUGCGAUCAAAGAACGAGCAACUACGUACUAAACACUCAAGCAAGUCUUCGUCGGCUUCAUUUAGAGAUAACGCCGACCAAUUCAAUGACUCCAAUCUAUAAAUAACCUAGCAUCCAUGCAAGAUAUCUCACCCAUCUCCUUAAGAAAAAUCAGCGUGGAAUCUAAUGGAAGGGCUAAAGUUUGUACUAGUUUUUGUCCUCUUGGCUCUGGCUUCUUCAUUUGCCUCUGCCUUCGAUCCUAGUCCUCUUCAGGACUUCUGUGUAGCAGUGGAUGAAACCGAUGGUGGUAUGCGCUCUUGAAGUAUUUCGUUAAGAGUUACAUGAUAGUAUUACACUGAAAAUAUCAUGCAUCCUGUAUAUCUUUUAUUAUUCCUUUACUUUCCGAUAUAUAUGUUCAAUAUUCUCUAUUGAUUGAUGACUUUUUAAGGGUAUCGAAUGUCUUUCUCAUGCAGUGUUUGUGAAUGGCAAAUUCUGCAAGGACCCAAAGGAUGUUACUGAAAAGGAUUUCUUCUCUUCUGGACUCAACAUUCCAGGGGACACUUCCGGUCGUGUUGGUUCAAAUGUCACUGCUGUCAAUAUUGAAAAAAUUCCAGGACUCAACACUCUUGGCAUAUCCUUCGCUCGCAUUGAUUUCGCUCCAUAUGGCCUGAACCCACCCCACACUCACCCUCGCGCCACUGAGAUCAUAGUAGUUGUGGAGGGUACCCUCUAUGUUGGCUUUGUUACGUCAAACUUGGCUAACGGAGAUAAUCGCCUAAUCACCAAAGCCUUAAAACCUGGAGAUGUUUUUGUGUUUCCAAUUGGACUCAUUCAUUUCCAAUUCAAUGUGGGAAAAACCAAAGCGCUUGCUUUCGCCGGCUUAAGCAGCCAGAACCCUGGUGUAAUUACAAUUGCGAAUGC